rnacentral:rRNA from 1 species
UGGGGAAUUUUGGACAAUGGGCGAAAGCCUGAUCCAGCAAUGCCGCGUGUGUGAAGAAGGCCCUCGGGUUGUAAAGCACUUUUGUCCGGAAAGAAAUCCUUGGCUCUAAUACAGUCGGGGGAUGACGGUACCGGAAGAAUAAGCACCGGCUAACUACGUGCCAGCAGCCGCGGUAAUACGUAGGGUGCAAGCGUUAAUCGGAAUUACUGGGCGUAAAGCGUGCGCAGGCGGUUUGCUAAGACCGAUGUGAAAUCCCCGGGCUCAACCUGGGAACUGCAUUGGUGACUGGCAGGCUAGAGUAUGGCAGAGGGGGUAGAAUUCCACGUGUAGCAGUGAAAUGCGUAGAGAUGUGGAGGAAUACCGAUGGCGAAGGCAGCCCCCUGGGCCAAUACUGACGCUCAUGCACGAAAGCGUGGGGAGCAAACAGGAUUAGAUACCCUGGUAGUCCACGCCCUAAACGAUGUCAACUAGUUGUUGGGGAUUCAUUUCCUUAGUAACGUAGCUAACGCGUGAAGUUAACCGCCUGGGGAGUACGGUCGCAAGAUUAAAACUCAAAGGAAUUGACGGGGUCAUAGCUGUUUCCU